rnacentral:rRNA from 1 species
GUAGGUGGCAAGCGUUGUCCGGAAUUAUUGGGCGUAAAGCGCGCGCAGGCGGUUCUUUAAGUCUGAUGUGAAAGCCCACGGGCUCAACCGUGGAGGGUCAUUGGAAACUGGAGAACUUGAGUACAGAAGAGGAAAGCGGAAUUCCACGUGUAGCGGUGAAAUGCGUAGAGAUGUGGAGGAACACCAGUGGCGAAGGCGGCUUUCUGGUCUGUAACUGAUGCUGAGGCGCGAAAGCGUGGGGAGCAAACAGGAUUAGAUACCCUGGUAGUCCACGCCGUAAACGAUGAGUGCUAAGUGUUAGGGGGUUUCCGCCCCUUAGUGCUGCAGCUAACGCAUUAAGCACUCCGCCUGGGGAGUACGGCCGCAAGGCUG